rnacentral:rRNA from 1 species
GACGAACGCUGGCGGCGUGCUUAACACAUGCAAGUCGAACGGAAAGGCCCUUCGGGGUACUCGAGUGGCGAACGGGUGAGUAACACGUGGGUGAUCUGCCCUGCACUUUGGGAUAAGCCUGGGAAACUGGGUCUAAUACCGGAUAGGACCACGGCAUUCAUGUGCUGUGGUGGAAAGCUUUUGCGGUGUGGGAUGGGCCCGCGGCCUAUCAGCUUGUUGGUGGGGUAAUGGCCUACCAAGGCGACGACGGGUAGCCGGCCUGAGAGGGUGACCGGCCACACUGGGACUGAGAUACGGCCCAGACUCCUACGGGAGGCAGCAGUGGGGAAUAUUGCACAAUGGGCGCAAGCCUGAUGCAGCGACGCCGCGUGAGGGAUGACGGCCUUCGGGUUGUAAACCUCUUUCGCCAGGGACGAGGCGCAAGUGACGGUACCUGGAGAAGAAGGACCGGCCAACUACGUGCCAGCAGCCGCGGUAAUACGUAGGGUCCGAGCGUUGUCCGGAAUUACUGGGCGUAAAGAGCUCGUAGUGGUUUGUCGCGUUGUUCGUGAAAACUCACAACCCAAUUGUGGGCGUGCGGGCGAUACGGGCAGACUGGAGUACUGCAGGGGAGACUGGAAUUCCUGGUGUAGCGGUGGAAUGCGCAGAUAUCAGGAGGAACACCGGUGGCGAAGGCGGGUCUCUGGGCAGUAACUGACGCUGAGGAGCGAAAGCGUGGGGAGCGAACAGGAUUAGAUACCCUGGUAGUCCACGCCGUAAACGGUGGGUACUAGGUGUGGGUUUCCUUCCUUGGGAUCCGUGCCGUAGCUAACGCAUUAAGUACCCCGCCUGGGGAGUACGGCCGCAAGGCUAAAACUCAAAGGAAUUGACGGGGGCCCGCACAAGCGGCGGAGCAUGUGGAUUAAUUCGAUGCAACGCGAAGAACCUUACCUGGGUUUGACAUGCACAGGACGCUGGUAGAGAUAUCAGUUCCCUUGUGGCCUGUGUGCAGGUGGUGCAUGGCUGUCGUCAGCUCGUGUCGUGAGAUGUUGGGUUAAGUCCCGCAACGAGCGCAACCCUUGUCUCAUGUUGCCAGCACGUUAUGGUGGGGACUCGUGAGAGACUGCCGGGGUCAACUCGGAGGAAGGUGGGGAUGACGUCAAGUCAUCAUGCCCCUUAUGUCCAGGGCUUCACACAUGCUACAAUGGCCGGUACAAAGGGCUGCGAUGCCGUGAGGUGGAGCGAAUCCUUUCAAAGCCGGUCUCAGUUCGGAUCGGGGUCUGCAACUCGACCCCGUGAAGUCGGAGUCGCUAGUAAUCGCAGAUCAGCAACGCUGCGGUGAAUACGUUCCCGGGCCU